rnacentral:rRNA from 1 species
UCCGUAGGUGAACCUGCGGAGGGAUCAUUACACAAAUAUGAAGGCGGGCUGGAACCUCUCGGGGUUACAGCCUUGCUGAAUUAUUCACCCUUGUCUUUUGCGUACUUCUUGUUUCCUUGGUGGGUUCGCCCACCACUAGGACAAACAUAAACCUUUUGUAAUUGCAAUCAGCGUCAGUAACAAAUUAAUAAUUACAACUUUCAACAACGGAUCUCUUGGUUCUGGCAUCGAUGAAGAACGCAGCGAAAUGCGAUAAGUAGUGUGAAUUGCAGAAUUCAGUGAAUCAUCGAAUCUUUGAACGCACAUUGCGCCCUUUGGUAUUCCAAAGGGCAUGCCUGUUCGAGCGUCAUUUGUACCCUCAAGCUUUGCUUGGUGUUGGGCGUCUUGUCUCUAGCUUUGCUGGAGACUCGCCUUAAAGUAAUUGGCAGCCGGCCUACUGGUUUCGGAGCGCAGCACAAGUCGCACUCUCUAUCAGCAAAGGUCUAGCAUCCAUUAAGCCUUUUUUUCAACUCUUGACCUCGGAUCAGGUAGGGAUACCCGCUGAACUUAAGCAUAUCAAUAAAGCGGAGGA